GGCGGACGGGUGAGUAACACGUGGGCAACCUGCCCUGCAGAUCGGGAUAACUCCGGGAAACCGGUGCUAAUACCGAAUAGUUUGCAGCCUCUCCUGAGGCUGCACGGAAAGACGGUUUCGGCUGUCACUGCAGGAUGGGCCCGCGGCGCAUUAGCUAGUUGGUGGGGUAAUGGCCUACCAAGGCGACGAUGCGUAGCCGACCUGAGAGGGUGAUCGGCCACACUGGGACUGAGACACGGCCCAGACUCCUACGGGAGGCAGCAGUAGGGAAUCUUCCGCAAUGGACGAAAGUCUGACGGAGCAACGCCGCGUGAGUGACGAAGGUUUUCGGAUCGUAAAACUCUGUUGUGAGGGAAGAACACGUACCAGCUAACUACUGGUACCUUGACGGUACCUCACCAGAAAGCCACGGCUAACUACGUGCCAGCAGCCGCGGUAAUACGUAGGUGGCAAGCGUUGUCCGGAAUUAUUGGGCGUAAAGCGCGCGCAGGCGGUCCUUUAAGUCUGAUGUGAAAGCCCACGGCUCAACCGUGGAGGGUCAUUGGAAACUGGAGGACUUGAGUGCAGAAGAGGAAAGUGGAAUUCCAUGUGUAGCGGUGAAAUGCGUAGAGAUGUGGAGGAACACCAGUGGCGAAGGCGACUUUCUGGUCUGUAACUGACGCUGAGGCGCGAAAGCGUGGGAGCAAACAGGAUUAGAUACCCUGGUAGUCCACGCCGUAAACGAUGAGUGCUAAGUGUUAGGGGGUUUCCGCCCCUUAGUGCUGCAGCUAACGCAUUAAGCACUCCGCCUGGGGAGUACGGCCGCAAGGCUGAAACUCAAAGGAAUUGACGGGGGCCCGCACAAG
rnacentral:rRNA from 1 species